GGGCGGGUAGCGAAGUGGUUAAACGCGGCAGACUGUAACUCUGCUCCUUGGGGUUCGGCGGUUCGAAUCCGUCCCCUCCCA
rfam:Candidatus Izimaplasma sp. HR1 chromosome, complete genome.